UACAGAGGGGGCAAGCGUUGUUCGGGAUUACUGGGCGUAAAGGGCGCGUAGGCGGCCUGUUAAGUCGAACGUGAAAUCCCCGGGCUCAACCCGGGAACUGCGUCCGAAACUGGCAGGCUCGAAUUCGGGAGAGGGAUGCGGAAUUCCAGGUGUAGCGGUGAAAUGCGUAGAUAUCUGGAGGAACACCGGUGGCGAAGGCGGCAUCCUGGACCAACACUGACACUGAGGAGCGAAAGCCAGGGGAGCAAACGGG
rnacentral:rRNA from 1 species